rnacentral:rRNA from 1 species
AACGAACGCUGGCGGCAUGCCUAACACAUGCAAGUCGAACGAGACCUUCGGGUCUAGUGGCGCACGGGUGCGUAACGCGUGGGAACCGGCCCUUAGGCUCGGAAUAACUCCCCGAAAGGGGUGCUAAUACCGGAUAAUGUCUUCGGACCAAAGAUUUAUCGCCUUUGGAUGGGCCCGCGUUGGAUUAGCUAGUUGGUAGGGUAAAAGCCUACCAAGGCGACGAUCCAUAGCUGGUCUGAGAGGAUGAUCAGCCACACUGGGACUGAGACACGGCCCAGACUCCUACGGGAGGCAGCAGUGGGGAAUAUUGGACAAUGGGCGAAAGCCUGAUCCAGCAAGGCCGCGUGAGUGAUGAAGGCCUUAGGGUUGUAAAGCUCUUUUACCCGGGAUGAUAAUGACAGUACCGGGAGAAUAAGCUCCGGCUAACUCCGUG